rnacentral:lncRNA from 1 species
ACCCGUAAGCCCUUAUCGGGUCAGACAAACUUCGUGACGGCGCAAGGGCGGAGCAACCCGGGUCAGAACACCGGAAUCUCUAUACAGAACUGCAAGAUCACGGCGCAGUCGACGACUUACCUUGGCCGGCCGUGGAAAGAGUAUUCAAGAACGGUGGUGAUGCAGUCUUUCCUCGACGGGUCGAUUCACCCGUCGGGUUGGUCUCCUUGGUCGGGUGGUUUCGGGCUUAAAACUCUGUUUUACGCGACAAAUCCGUCGUGUACCGAUGCUCCAUCGAAGGAUACCAAGACUCACUCUACACGCACUCUAAGCGACAAUUCUACCGAGACACAGACAUCACUGGAACCGUCGACUACAUAUUCGGAAACUCCGCCGCAGUGCUCCAGUCCUGCAACAUCGUCGCCCGUAAGCCCUUAUCGGGUCAGACAAACUUCGUGACGGCGCAAGGGCGGAGCAACCCGGGUCAGAACACCGGAAUCUCUAUACAGAACUGCAAGAUCACGGCGCAGUCGACGACUUACCUUGGCCGGCCGUGGAAAGAGUAUUCAAGAACGGU